AACGAACGCUGGCGGCAUGCCUAACACAUGCAAGUCGAACGAGACCUUCGGGUCUAGUGGCGCACGGGUGCGUAACGCGUGGGAACCUGCCCUUAGGUUCGGAAUAACUCCCCGAAAGGGGUGCUAAUACCGGAUAAUGUCUUCGGACCAAAGAUUUAUCGCCUUUGGAUGGGCCCGCGUUGGAUUAGCUAGUUGGUAGGGUAAAAGCCUACCAAGGCGACGAUCCAUAGCUGGUCUGAGAGGAUGAUCAGCCACACUGGGACUGAGACACGGCCCAGACCCCAACGGGGGCCAGCGGGGGGGAGUUGUGGGUGAGGGACGUAGGUCUUACAAAGCCAUGCCCCGGGGAUGAUGCAACGCUUAGGGGGGGAAAACCCUGUUCCCAGGGCGGAGCAAGGGAGGGGGGGGAGAAUUGGAUACGCCCUCCCCGACC
rnacentral:rRNA from 1 species